rnacentral:rRNA from 1 species
GAUGAACGCUGGCGGCGUGCCUAAUACAUGCAAGUCGAGCGAACGGACGAGAAGCUUGCUUCUCUGAUGUUAGCGGCGGACGGGUGAGUAACACGUGGAUAACCUACCUAUAAGACUGGGAUAACUUCGGGAAACCGGAGCUGAUACCGGAUAAUAUUUUGAACCGCAUGGUUCAAAAGUGAAAGACGGUCUUGCUGUCACUUAUAGAUGGAUCCGCGCUGCAUUAGCUAGUUGGUAAGGUAACGGCUUACCAAGGCAACGAUGCAUAGCCGACCUGAGAGGGUGAUCGGCCACACUGGAACUGAGACACGGUCCAGACUCCUACGGGAGGCAGCAGUAGGGAAUCUUCCGCAAUGGGCGAAAGCCUGACGGAGCAACGCCGCGUGAGUGAUGAAGGUCUUCGGAUCGUAAAACUCUGUUAUUAGGGAAGAACAUAUGUGUAAGUAACUGUGCACAUCUUGACGGUACCUAAUCAGAAAGCCACGGCUAACUACGUGCCAGCAGCCGCGGUAAUACGUAGGUGGCAAGCGUUAUCCGGAAUUAUUGGGCGUAAAGCGCGCGUAGGCGGUUUUUUAAGUCUGAUGUGAAAGCCCACGGCUCAACCGUGGAGGGUCAUUGGAAACUGGAAAACUUGAGUGCAGAAGAGGAAAGUGGAAUUCCAUGUGUAGCGGUGAAAUGCGCAGAGAUAUGGAGGAACACCAGUGGCGAAGGCGACUUUCUGGUCUGUAACUGACGCUGAUGUGCGAAAGCGUGGGGAUCAAACAGGAUUAGAUACCCUGGUAGUCCACGCCGUAAACGAUGAGUGCUAAGUGUUAGGGGGUUUCCGCCCCUUAGUGCUGCAGCUAACGCAUUAAGCACUCCGCCUGGGGAGUACGACCGCAAGGUUGAAACUCAAAGGAAUUGACGGGGACCCGCACAAGCGGUGGAGCAUGUGGUUUAAUUCGAAGCAACGCGAAGAACCUUACCAAAUCUUGACAUCCUUUGACAACUCUAGAGAUAGAGCCUUCCCCUUCGGGGGACAAAGUGACAGGUGGUGCAUGGUUGUCGUCAGCUCGUGUCGUGAGAUGUUGGGUUAAGUCCCGCAACGAGCGCAGCCCUUAAGCUUAGUUGCCAUCAUUAAGUUGGGCACUCUAAGUUGACUGCCGGUGACAAACCGGAGGAAGGUGGGGAUGACGUCAAAUCAUCAUGCCCCUUAUGAUUUGGGCUACACACGUGCUACAAUGGACAAUACAAAGGGCAGCGAAACCGCGAGGUCAAGCAAAUCCCAUAAAGUUGUUCUCAGUUCGGAUUGUAGUCUGCAACUCGACUACAUGAAGCUGGAAUCGCUAGUAAUCGUAGAUCAGCAUGCUACGGUGAAUACGUUCCCGGGUCU